UACGUAGGGUGCGAGCGUUAAUCGGAAUUACUGGGCGUAAAGGGUGCGCAGGCGGUUAUAUAAGUCAGAUGUGAAAUCCCCGGGCUCAACCUGGGAACUGCGUUUGUGACUGUAUGACUAGAGUACGGUAGAGGGGGGUGGAAUUCCUGGUGUAGCAGUGAAAUGCGUAGAUAUCAGGAGGAACAUCGAUGGCGAAGGCAGCCCCUUGGACCUGUACUGACGCUCAUGCACGAAAGCGUGGGGAGCAAACAGG
rnacentral:rRNA from 1 species